ACCCACUUAGUAAUAAUAUAACCUUUGCAUUAUUACUCUCUAUUUGUUGUUGUUAGAAUCUAUUAUCCACUACUCUUUAAUAUGUAAUAUUUAGGGGACAUUGAGGGGGAAGCAGACAUUGUCCUGAAAUAUCAGCAUGAAGUACAGAGGAAAUAAAAAUGAGUUAGAAAAGGAAAAGCACAUCAAGAAUUUGAUUUUACACUAGACCAUCUGAACAAGAUGUGCCUAAAACGAUUAUGCCCCACCCAGUAAACCUUGAAGGUACUGAGGAGCCAGUCAGUAAGAGUAUCGUCAUCUGCAGGGUUGGGGCUUAAGAGGUUUCUACUUCAAUACUGAGAAGUGUUCCAGAGGCCAGGCGACUUGGGGCUGUCCAUUUGGCUGAGUCCUGGGU
rnacentral:lncRNA from 1 species